GAAUCCUUUGCAGACGACUU
rnacentral:snRNA from 1 species